rnacentral:rRNA from 1 species
UCGGGUUGGGGGAAGGAAACCCCGGGAACUGGGGAUAAUACCUCAUAGGUUACGGAGGCUGGAAUGCCCUGUAACCCAAAAGCUCCGGCGCCUCAGGAUGAGUCUGCGGCCGAUUAGGUUGUUGUUGGGGUAACGGCCCAACAAGCCGAUAAUCGGUACGGGUUGUGGGAGCAAGAGCCCGGAGAUGGAUUCUGAGACAUGAAUCCAGGCCCUACGGGGCGCAGCAGGCGCGAAAACUUUACAAUGCGAGCAAUCGUGAUAAGGGAACCCCGAGUGCCUGUACACGCAGGCUGUUCAGAUGUCUAAAACACAUCUGGAGAAAGGGCCGGGCAAGACCGGUGCCAGCCGCCGCGGUAAUACCGGCGGCUCGAGUGGUGGCCACUAUUACUGGGCUUAAAGCGUCCGUAGCUGGGUUGUUAAGUCUCCUGAGAAAUCUGCCGGCUUAACCGUCAGGCGUUCAGGAGAUACUGGCAAUCUCGGGACUGGGGGAGGUGAGAGGUACUCCGGGGGUAGGAGUGAAAUCCUGUAAUCCUCGGGGGACCACCUGUGGCGAAGGCGUCUCACCAGAACAGCUCCGACAGUGAGGGACGAAAGCUGGGGGAGCAAACCGGAUUAGAUACCCGGGUAGUCCCAGCUGUAAACGAUGCGCGUUAGGUGUGUCGGUAACCACGAGUUACCGAGGUGCCGUAGGGAAACUGCUAAACGCGCCGCCUGGGAAGUACGGUCGCAAGGCUGAAACUUAAAGGAAUUGGCGGGGGAGCAC